rnacentral:lncRNA from 1 species
UUUAUCAGAUACCAUGCUGAGUUUAAUUUGUAUUAGUUCAAUCUUCAUAGCAUCAUUGUGAUGUUAAAUAUUACCUUUGUUUUACCAGAUGAUAGUGAAGCACAGAAAGUUAUAUAAUUUCCCAAAGUUACACACAUCAUAGCUGAUAUGACCUGAAUGCAGGUAGUUUGAAAGUUCAAAAGCAUGCUCUUAACCACUCCUUAUUUUUUUCUUCUCUAACUCCAUAUAGGAGAACUACUAUCCCAGUCUCACAGAUGGGAGAAUGGAUUUCCAAAGAUGCUUAAUACAUUCAUCCAAGAUUAUACAGCCAGCUGGAGAUGAACAUAGAUCAAGUUUCCCCCCGAGUGCUGAAUGGCUCUUGCAGAAAGUGUUGGCUUUUUAAUAUUCUGAAUCUGAGAAUCACAUAUCUGGUUUAUAAAAUUAGCUCAUUUUUCCUUGUCUCUUGUGAGUUACCAGCAGCCCUCAGCCACUUCAGGUAACGUAGCAGAAAUAGUGCUCACCCAGUUUCAGAAUGCCUUCUGGUUAAAAAGGCAUUUUGUUUCCUAUCUGGGCAUUUGGUUUCUUAUCAGAGAUAUGGGUAAGAGGCAAAAUACUUGAGGGAUAAAAAGUAAUCAGUGGGUGGUUUGCUUUCGCACACCACCAAGCAAUUCUCCAAUUUUCAGUGAACACUGACUGGGUAUCCUACAAAUUUAACUCAAUUCUGACACUGUCUACUUGAAGAUAGCAUCAGAUCCCACAGGUUAAAGCCUCAGUCCCACAACACUGCCCCCACUUCAGACACCAAUUUCAAGCCCAGAUUGUCGGCUGUACUUUGGACCCACUGGCUAAAACCUGGGGUUCCCAUGACCCCUUCCUUGAAUUCAGUAAUUUGCUAAAAUGGCUCACAGGAUGCUCAGGGCAACAUUUACUUACACUUACCAGCUUUUUAUCCAGGACACGGAUGAGCAGCCUGGUAAAUUGGUACAUUGGGUGAGGUACAGAAGGCCCUCAGUACAGGUGCUUGUGUGCCCACGGAACUGAGAUCUGCCACCCCCUCAGCAUCUGGAUGCCUUCACCAACCUGGAAGCUUUCCAAACCAUGUCAUUUUGGGUAUUUAUGGAAGCUUUGUUACACAAACAUGACUGGUUACAUCACUGGCACUGGUAAUUGAGCUCUAUGCAUAGUCUCUCUCCCCUCCACAAAAAUCUCAGGGGUUGCGUUCACUGUUCCAACCUCUGAUCACAGAGUUGGUUUCCGGGCAACCAGUCCCCAUCCUUAGGGACUCUCCAAAUACCACCUCAUUCACAUCAAGUGAGGUGUGGUUGAAAGGGGCUUGUUAUAAAUAACAGAAGGCACUUUUAUUGUUCUUAUCACUUAAGGAAUUCCAAGGGUUUUAGGACCUCGGUGCCAGGAAUGCGAUGAAGACCAAAUACAUGACUUCUUCAUAUAAACCACAAUCACAGUAGGUGACACAAAAAUUAUUGGUAAUUUAAAUAGUAU